rnacentral:lncRNA from 1 species
ACUUGGCUGAAGACAAUAAAGAGAACUAGAUGUCAUCCUGCUGAUCCCAAUUUCCUAUGUUUCUGGCACCAGAAAACCCUGAAUGAUAGGUUUUUCUGAAGCUGCUGACAUUGGGUCAGCCCUCAAUAUCAUCACCUCUAGCCAUGUUCAGGAGGUACUCAAAGGUAACACUGGCAGCUGAGAGCAGGCCAGUCAAUGUCUGGCCACCACCCUAAUCCCACCUGGACAGUCACACCCCACCUCCCUAUGUGUGUUCGCACAGUGGGGGUGAUGUCAUGUGGGUCUGGCCUGUCCUGAGCAGACCCAGGUGUUGGGUUGUCAGAAACCCAGUGACCCAUCACAUUCACUCCUCAGAUCAUGGCUCAAAAGUCUACAGAGCAGAGACAAGAGAUUGACAAAGAGGUGUUGAUGAGUCCUGUGCUCAUUUCACUCCACCCAGACCACUGCAUCCAUUUUUACCUUAAAAUAUUUGAAAUGGACCACUCUCCUCCCACAAAAAAUUGUGCGAGAAGGCAAAGGAAAUUUUAACAAAAGGAUCAGAUGUGCAAGAG